CCUACGGGAGGCAGCAGUGGGGAAUUUUGGACAAUGGGCGCAAGCCUGAUCCAGCAAUGCCGCGUGAGUGAAGAAGGCCUUCGGGUUGUAAAGCUCUUUUGUCAGGGAAGAAACGGUGGGGGCUAAUAUCUCCUACUAAUGACGGUACCUGAAGAAUAAGCACCGGCUAACUACGUGCCAGCAGCCGCGGUAAUACGUAGGGUGCAAGCGUUAAUCGGAAUUACUGGGCGUAAAGCGUGCGCAGGCGGUUUUGUAAGUCUGUCGUGAAAGCCCCGGGCUCAACCUGGGAAUUGCGAUGGAGACUGCAAGGCUUGAAUCUGGCAGAGGGGGGUAGAAUUCCACGUGUAGCAGUGAAAUGCGUAGAGAUGUGGAGGAACACCGAUGGCGAAGGCAGCCCCCUGGGUCAAGAUUGACGCUCAUGCACGAAAGCGUGGGGAGCAAACAGGAUUAGAUACCCUGGUAGUCCACGCCCUAAACGAUGUCUACUAGUUGUCGGUUUUAAUUAACUUGGUAACGCAGCUACGACGUGAGUAGACCGCCGUCGGGAGGUACGGUCGCGAGAAGUUAAACGUAACAAUAGAAGUAGUACGGACGUGAGACGUGACCGACGGACGACGACGACGGGAGGAGG
rnacentral:rRNA from 1 species